CAGCGGAAUAUAUGGGCCACACAGGACUGAAUGGUUGCUGGGUGGGUCAUGACCCGGAAGUUGUUGAUUCUCCUACUGUGUGUCACCUUGGCAACAUGCGAUACAAGGAAAUGUAAAAAAGAGUGUAAAAACGGCCAGAAAUGUACACGGAUUGGUUCCCUUGAGUUGUGUGGUG